CAGGUUUACCUGUGUGACUGCGUACCUUUUGUAUAAUGGGUCAGCGACUUAUAUUCUGUAGCAAGGUUAACCGUAUAGGGGAGCCGUAGGGAAACCGAGUCUUAACCGGGCGUUAAGUUGCAGGGUAUAGACCCGAAACCCGGUGAUCUAGCCAUGGGCAGGUUGAAGGUUGGGUAACACUAACUGGAGGACCGAACCGACUAAUGUUGAAAAAUUAGCGGAUGACCUGUGGCUGGGGGUGAAAGGCCAAUCAAACCGGGAGAUAGCUGGUUCUCCCCGAAAGCUAUUUAGGUAGCGCCUCGUGAAUUCAUCUCCGGGGGUAGAGCACUGUUUCGGCUAGGGGGCCAUCCCGGCUUACCAACCCGAUGCAAACUGCGAAUACCGGAGAAUGUUAUCACGGGAGACACACGGCGGGUGCUAACGUCCGUCGUGAAGAGGGAAACAACCCAGACCGCCAGCUAAGGUCCCAAAGUCAUGGUUAAGUGGGAAACGAUGUGGGAAGGCCCAGACAGCCAGGAUGUUGGCUUAGAAGCAGCCAUCAUUUAAAGAAAGCGUAAUAGCUCACUGGUCGAGUCGGCCUGCGCGGAAGAUGUAACGGGGCUAAACCAUGCACCGAAGCUGCGGCAGCGACGCUGAUGCGUUGUUGGGUAGGGGAGCGUUCUGUAAGCCUGUGAAGGUGGCCUGUGAGGGUUGCUGGAGGUAUCAGAAGUGCGAAUGCUGACAUAAGUAACGAUAAAGCGGGUGAAAAGCCCGCUCGCCGGAAGACCAAGGGUUCCUGUCCAACGUUAAUCGGGGCAGGGUGAGUCGACCCCUAAGGCGAGGCCGAAAGGCGUAGUCGAUGGGAAACGGGUUAAUAUUCCCGUACUUGGUGUUACUGCGAAGGGGGGACGGAGAAGGCUAUGUUGGCCGGGCGACGGUUGUCCCGGUUUAAGCGUGUAGGUGUGUGUUCCAGGUAAAUCCGGUUCACUUUAACACUGAGGCGUGAUGACGAGGCACUACGGUGCUGAAGCAACAAAUGCCCUGCUUCCAGGAAAAGCCUCUAAGCAUCAGGUAACAUCAAAUCGUACCCCAAACCGACACAGGUGGUCAGGUAGAGAAUACCAAGGCGCUUGAGAGAACUCGGGUGAAGGAACUAGGCAAAAUGGUGCCGUAACUUCGGGAGAAGGCACGCUGACACGUAGGUGAAGUGAUUUACUCAUGGAGCUGAAGUCAGUCGAAGAUACCAGCUGGCUGCAACUGUUUAUUAAAAACACAGCACUGUGCAAACACGAAAGUGGACGUAUACGGUGUGACGCCUGCCCGGUGCCGGAAGGUUAAUUGAUGGGGUCAGCGCAAGCGAAGCUCCUGAUCGAAGCCCCGGUAAACGGCGGCCGUAACUAUAACGGUCCUAAGGUAGCGAAAUUCCUUGUCGGGUAAGUUCCGACCUGCACGAAUGGCGUAAUGAUGGCCAGGCUGUCUCCACCCGAGACUCAGUGAAAUUGAACUCGCUGUGAAGAUGCAGUGUACCCGCGGCAAGACGGAAAGACCCCGUGAACCUUUACUAUAGCUUGACACUGAACAUUGAGCCUUGAUGUGUAGGAUAGGUGGGAGGCUUUGAAGCGUGGACGCCAGUCUGCAUGGAGCCGGCCUUGAAAUACCACCCUUUAAUGUUUGAUGUUCUAACGUGGACCCGUGAUCCGGGUUGCGGACAGUGUCUGGUGGGUAGUUUGACUGGGGCGGUCUCCUCCUAAAGAGUAACGGAGGAGCACGAAGGUUGGCUAAUCCUGGUCGGACAUCAGGAGGUUAGUGCAAUGGCAUAAGCCAGCUUGACUGCGAGCGUGACGGCGCGAGCAGGUGCGAAAGCAGGUCAUAGUGAUCCGGUGGUUCUGAAUGGAAGGGCCAUCGCUCAACGGAUAAAAGGUACUCCGGGGAUAACAGGCUGAUACCGCCCAAGAGUUCAUAUCGACGGCGGUGUUUGGCACCUCGAUGUCGGCUCAUCACAUCCUGGGGCUGAAGUAGGUCCCAAGGGUAUGGCUGUUCGCCAUUUAAAGUGGUACGCGAGCUGGGUUUAGAACGUCGUGAGACAGUUCGGUCCCUAUCUGCCGUGGGCGCUGGAGAACUGAGGGGGGCUGCUCCUAGUACGAGAGGACCGGAGUGGACGCAUCACUGGUGUUCGGGUUGUCAUGCCAAUGGCACUGCCCGGUAGCUAAAUGCGGAAGAGAUAAGUGCUGAAAGCAUCUAAGCACGAAACUUGCCCCGAGAUGAGUUCUCCCUGAGACUUAGAGUCUCCUGAAGGAACGUUGAAGACGACGACGUUGAUAGGCCGGGUGUGUAAGCGCAGCGAUGCGUUGAGCUAACCGGUACUAAUGAACCGUGAGGCUUAACCUU
rnacentral:rRNA from 1 species